CCUACGGUGUGCUGCAGUGGGGGAUAUUGCACAAUGGGGGGAACCCUGAUGCAGCGACGCCGCGUGGGUGAAGGAGUGCUUCGGCAUGUAAAGCCCUAUCGGCAGGGAAGAAGCAAGACGGUACCUGACUAAGACGCCCCGGCUAACUACGUGCCAGCAGCGGCGGUAAUACGUAGGGUGCGAGCGUUAUCCGGAUUCACUGGUGGUAAAGUGAGCGUAGACGGGCAAGCAAGCCAGGGGUGAAAGCCCGGGGCCCAACCCCGGGAGGGCCCGGGGUACUGCAUGGCUGGAGUGCGGGUGGGGCAGGCGGAAUUCCUGGUGUAGCGGUGACAUGCGUAGAUAGCAGGAGGAACACCGGCGGCGAAGGCGGCCUGCUGGACCGCGACUGACGUUGAGGCUCGAAAGCGUGGGGAGCGAACAGGAUUAGAUACCCUUGUAGUC
rnacentral:rRNA from 1 species